rnacentral:rRNA from 2 species
GAUUUCUGGUUCGGCGCACUUAGCCCGUCUCGGUUUACGGGAUUGUGUGCUGGCGUGCGCCAUCCAUCCUUCGAUGUAGAUCGCUACUGCCCUUUACUGGGUCUGUGGCGGUUCUCUCGAUCUUUUACUUUGAAAAAAUUAGAGUGUUUAAAGCAGGCUUGCGCUAUGAAUACAUUAGCAUGGAAUAAUAAUUUAGGACUUUGGUCUUAUUUUGUUGGUUUCUAGGACUAAAGUAAUGAUUGAUAGGGACAGUUGGGGGUGCUAGUAUUCAGCGGCCAGAGGUGAAAUUCUUGGAUUCGCUGAAGACUAACUUAUGCGAAAGCAUU